UUGAACGCUGGCGGAAUGCUUUACACAUGCAAGUCGAGCGGCAGCGCGGGGGCAACCCUGGCGGCGAGCGGCGAACGGGUGAGUAAUACAUCGGAACGUGUCCUUGAGUGGGGGAUAGCUCGGCGAAAGCCGGAUUAAUACCGCAUAAGCUCUGAGGAGGAAAGCGGGGGACCGUAAGGCCUCGCGCUGUUGGAGCGGCCGAUGUCGGAUUAGCUAGUUGGUGGGGUAAAGGCCCACCAAGGCGACGAUCCGUAGCUGGUCUGAGAGGAUGAUCAGCCACACUGGAACUGAGACACGGUCCAGACUCCUACGGGAGGCAGCAGUGGGGAAUUUUGGACAAUGGGGGCAACCCUGAUCCAGCCAUUCCGCGUGAGUGAAGAAGGCCUUCGGGUUGUAAAGCUCUUUCGGACGGAACGAAAUGGUUACGGACAAUACCCGUGACUGAUGACGGUACCGUAAGAAGAAGCACCGGCUAACUACGU
rnacentral:rRNA from 1 species